rnacentral:rRNA from 1 species
UAGAGUUUGAUUCUGGCUCAGACUGAACGCUGGCGGCAUGCCUUACACAUGCAAGUCGAACGGCAGCACGGGAGCAAUCUGGUGGCGAGUGGCGAACGGGUGAGUAAUGUAUCGGAACGUACCUUUCAGUGGGGGAUAACGUAGCGAAAGUUACGCUAAUACCGCAUAUUCUGUGAGCAGGAAAGCAGGGGAUCGCAAGACCUUGCGCUGAUUGAGCGGCCGAUAUCAGAUUAGCUAGUUGGUGAGGUAAAGGCUCACCAAGGCGACGAUCUGUAGCGGGUCUGAGAGGAUGAUCCGCCACACUGGAACUGAGACACGGUCCAGACUCCUACGGGAGGCAGCAGUGGGGAAUUUUGGACAAUGGGCGCAAGCCUGAUCCAGCCAUGCCGCGUGAGUGAAGAAGGCCUUCGGGUUGUAAAGCUCUUUCAGCCGGGAAGAAAACGCAUGGGUUAAUACCCUGUGUGGAUGACGGUACCGGAAUAAGAAGCACCGGCUAACUACGUGCCAGCGCCGCGGAAUAC